AACAUUUUGGUAUGGCUAGGAGACAAUACUGACCUACUAGUUGGGACGACUCUAGCUCAAUGAAGUUAUGAAACUUGUUUUUUCCUACAGGUCUGGGAGUUAAUGGAUUAAAGGAAUUAAAGAUAGUUUAAAAGACUGUCUAGAAGGGAGGCAGCUGUAUUGGGUAGCUAUUUGUGGGAGUAGAUCCCUGACAAGUUGUGUGAGGAAGUUAAGCCUCCUUGGAUUUCACUAGAAGAUGCUAACUUCAAGAGUUUCCAUGAAAUAAGUUGAAUCGUUUGUACUGUGGACUGUUUUCACUAGUCAGUCUUGAUUAUACAAUUUGAGGAGCAGCGUGGGAGAAAUAUGCAUAUCUGUAUGAACGAUUGACAUACAUAGUACUAAAACCCAUGGGGCCGAGAGGGAGUCCUCUCCAGUGAAACUGGGAUCGGCGCAAAGAAUUUAGGAAAAUAUCAUCAGACGUAUCAGCCGCUGGUGUUUACCUUCAGUCUCAGGAAUUUGUGUCCUUCUCCCUUCAUCUCAAGUUGCUAAGUUUGUUUCCAGAGAAAGAGCAAGCUGCCUGCCUUGUGGACCUUUUCUACCCUGAGCAGCCACAGAAAGGAAAAGCUGUCUCAUAGCCCAGACUGGUCUAAUCUCUGAAAGUUCUGGAGAUGUCAUUAAGUUAAUCAUUUAACCACUGUAAAAAUGUUGCUGUGUAAAUGUUAUAAUGUUUAUGAUCUUUCGUAGUCAUGACUUCUGUCCUUGCUGCGUUGAAAAAUGUUUGAAAAAUUGAAAAAUGUUUUUACAUGAAGGCUUUUAUGUCUUUCUAAUGUACACAGGCAAAGCAGUUUAAUACAAUAAUGUCUAAAGAUAACUUUGCAUAAAUAUUUAGGUACCAGACUUGCUUUUUCCCAUGGGAAAUAGGCAUGUGAAUGCCUUUGAAGAUCUUGACCUUACGAUCAUCUAAGAAGGUCUAGGCAUUGUACAAACUUACAAUAAGAGACAGUUACUGCUUUCUACUGUUUGAAUAAACCAGCUGGAUAAAGGUUAGUGGCA
rnacentral:lncRNA from 1 species